rnacentral:rRNA from 1 species
CUAGCGACUUCAGAGUUUGAUCCUGGCUCAGGACGAACGCUGGCGGCGUGCUUAACACAUGCAAGUCGAACGAGACGAUUUAGAAGCUUGCUUUUAUUGAGUCGAGUGGCAAACGGGUGAGUAACGCGUAGACAACCUGCCGCAAAGAUGGGGACAACAGUCCGAAAGGACUGCUAAUACCGAAUGUUGUAUCUCCUCCGCAUGGAAGAGAUAUUAAAGAUGGCCUCUACUUGUAAGCUAUCGCUUUGCGAUGGGUCUGCGUCUGAUUAGCUAGUUGGUGGGGCAACGGCCUACCAAGGCGACGAUCAGUAGCCGGUCUGAGAGGAUGAACGGCCACAUUGGAACUGAGACACGGUCCAG